UAGCGGAACUCCUACGGGAGGCAGCAGUAGGGAAUCUUCCGCAAUGGACGCAAGUCUGACGGAGCAACGCCGCGUGAGUGAAGAAGGGUUUCGGCUCGUAAAACUCUGUUGUUAAGGAAGAAUGACAGGCAGAGUAACUGCUGCCUGUGUGACGGUACUUAACCAGAAAGCCACGGCUAACUACGUGCCAGCAGCCGCGGUAAUACGUAGGUGGCAAGCGUUAUCCGGAAUUAUUGGGCGUAAAGCGCGCGUAGGCGGUUUUUUAAGUCUGAUGUGAAAGCCCCCGGCUCAACCGGGGAGGGUCAUUGGAAACUGGGGAACUUGAGUGCAGAAGAGGAGAGUGGAAUUCCAUGUGUAGCGGUGAAAUGCGCAGAGAUAUGGAGGAACACCAGUGGCGAAGGCGGCUCUCUGGUCUGUAACUGACGCUGAUGUGCGAAAGCGUGGGGAUCAAACAGGAUUAGAAACCCUAGUAGUCCACUUAUG
rnacentral:rRNA from 1 species